rnacentral:rRNA from 1 species
UACGGGGGGAGCAAGCGUUGUUCGGAUUUACUGGGCGUAAAGGGCGCGUAGGCGGUCAGCACAAGUCAGUUGUGAAAUCUCCGGGCUUAACCCGGAAAGGUCAACUGAUACUGUGCGACUAAAGUGCGGAAGGGGCAACUGGAAUUCUUGGUGUAGCGGUGAAAUGCGUAGAUAUCAAGAGGAACACCUGCGGCGAAGGCGGGUUGCUGGGCCGACACUGACGCUGAAGCGCGAAAGCCAGGGGAGCGAACGGG